AGGGUUUGAUUAUGGCUCAGGACGAACGCUGGCGGCAUGCCUAACACAUGCAAGUCGAACGGAGACAGCAAUGUCUUAGUGGCGAACGGGUGAGUAACGCGUGAGUAACCUGCCUCAGACAACGGGAUACCUGCGAGAAAUUGCAGUUAAUACGGUAUAAGACCACGCCGUCGCAUGACGGAGGGGUAAAAGGAGCAAUCCGGUUUGAGAUGGACUCGCGUCGCAUUAGCUGGUUGGUGAGGUAACGGCCCACCAAGGCGACGAUGCGUAGCCGACCUGAGAGGGUAAUCGGCCACAUUGGGACUGAGAUACGGCCCAG
rnacentral:rRNA from 1 species